rnacentral:rRNA from 1 species
GACGAACGCUGGCGGCGUGCUUAACACAUGCAAGUCGAACGGAAAGGCCCUGCUUUUGUGGGGUGCUCGAGUGGCGAACGGGUGAGUAACACGUGAGUAACCUGCCCUUGACUUUGGGAUAACUUCAGGAAACUGGGGCUAAUACCGGAUAGGAGCUCCUGCUGCAUGGUGGGGGUUGGAAAGUUUCGGCGGUUGGGGAUGGACUCGCGGCUUAUCAGCUUGUUGGUGGGGUAGUGGCUUACCAAGGCUUUGACGGGUAGCCGGCCUGAGAGGGUGACCGGCCACAUUGGGACUGAGAUACGGCCCAGACUCCUACGGGAGGCAGCAGUGGGGAAUAUUGCACAAUGGGCGGAAGCCUGAUGCAGCAACGCCGCGUGCGUGAUGACGGCCUUCGGGUUGUGAACCGCUUUCGCCUGUGACGAAGCGUGAGUGGCGGUAAUGGGUAAAGAAGCACCGGCUAACUACGUG